rnacentral:rRNA from 1 species
GGCCCAGAUUCCUACGGGAGGCAGCAGUGGGAAUUUUGGACAAUGGGGGAAACCCUGAUCCAGCCAUCCCGCGUGUAUGAUGAAGGCCUUCGGGUUGUAAAGUACUUUUGGCAGAGAAGAAAAGGUAUCCCCUAAUACGGGAUACUGCUGACGGUAUCUGCAGAAUAAGCACCGGCUAACUACGUGCCAGCAGCCGCGGUAAUACGUAGGGUGCAAGCGUUAAUCGGAAUUACUGGGCGUAAAGCGUGUGUAGGCGGUUCGGAAAGAAAGAUGUGAAAUCCCAGGGCUCAACCUUGGAACUGCAUUUUUAACUGCCGAGCUAGAGUAUGUCAGAGGGGGGUAGAAUUCCACGUGUAGCAGUGAAAUGCGUAGAUAUGUGGAGGAAUACCGAUGGCGAAGGCAGCCCCCUGGGAUAAUACUGACGCUCAGACACGAAAGCGUGGGGAGCAAACAGGAUUAGAUACCCUGGUAGUCCACGCCCUAAACGAUGUCAACUAGCUGUUGGGGCCGUUAGGCCUUAGUAGCGCAGCUAACGCGUGAAGUUGACCGCCUGGGGAGUACGGUCGCAAGAUUAAAACUCAAAGGAAUUGACGGGGACCCGCACAAGCGGUGGAUGAUGUGGAUUAAUUCGAUGCAACGCGAAAAACCUUACCUACCCUUGACAUGUCUGGAAAGCCGAAGAGAUUUGGCCGUGCUCGCAAGAGAACCGGAACACAGGUGCUGCAUGGCUGUCGUCAGCUCGUGUCGUGAGAUGUUGGGUUAAGUCCCGCAACGAGCGCAACCCUUGUCAUUAGUUGCUACGCAAGAGCACUCUAAUGAGACUGCCGGUGACAAACCGGAGGAAGGUGGGGAUGACGUCAAGUCCUCAUGGCCCUUAUGGGUAGGGCUUCACACGUCAUACAAUGGUCGGGACAGAGGGUCGCCAACCCGCGAGGGGGAGCCAAUCUCAGAAACCCGAUCGUAGUCCGGAUCGCAGUCUGCAACUCGACUGCGUGAAGUCGGAAUCGCUAGUAAUCGCGGAUCAGAAUGUCGCGGUGAAUACGUUCCCGGGUCUUGUACACACCGCCCGUCACACCAUGGGAGUGGGUUUCACCAGAAGUAGGUAGCCUAACCGCAAGGAGGGCG